GGGUUGUGAGGUUAAGCGACUAAGCGUACACGGUGGAUGCCCUGGCAGUCAGAGGCGAUGAAGGGCGUGCUAAUCUGCGAUAAGCGCCGGUAAGGUGAUAUGAACCGUUAUAACCGGCGAUACCCGAAUGGGGAAACCCAGUGUGACUCGUCACACUAUCAUUAACUGAAUCCAUAGGUUAAUGAGGCGAACCGGGGGAACUGAAACAUCUAAGUACCCCGAGGAAAAGAAAUCAACCGAGAUUCCCCCAGUAGCGGCGAGCGAACGGGGAGGAGCCCAGAGCCUGAAUCAGCAUGUGUGUUAGUGGAAGCGUCUGGAAAGGCGCGCGAUACAGGGUGACAGCCCCGUACACAAAAGCGCAUGUGCUGUGAGCUCGAUGAGUAGGGCGGGACACGUGGUAUCCUGUCUGAAUAUGGGGGGACCAUCCUCCAAGGCUAAAUACUCCUGACUGACCGAUAGUGAACCAGUACCGUGAGGGAAAGGCGAAAAGAACCCCGGCGAGGGGAGUGAAAAAGAACCUGAAACCGUGUACGUACAAGCAGUGGGAGCACAGGUUUACCUGUGUGACUGCGUACCUUUUGUAUAAUGGGUCAGCGACUUAUAUUCUGUAGCAAGGUUAACCGAAUAGGGGAGCCGGAGGGAAACCGAGUCUUAAUUGGGCGUUAAGUUGCAGGGUAUAGACCCGAAACCCGGUGAUCUAGCCAUGGGCAGGUUGAAGGUUGGGUAACACUAACUGGAGGACCGAACCGACUAAUGUUGAAAAAUUAGCGGAUGACCUGUGGCUGGGGGUGAAAGGCCAAUCAAACCGGGAGAUAGCUGGUUCUCCCCGAAAGCUAUUUAGGUAGCGCCUCGUGAAUUCAUCUCCGGGGGUAGAGCACUGUUUCGGCUAGGGGGCCAUCCCGGCUUACCAACCCGAUGCAAACUGCGAAUACCGGAGAAUGUUAUCACGGGAGACACACGGCGGGUGCUAACGUCCGUCGUGAAGAGGGAAACAACCCAGACCGCCAGCUAAGGUCCCAAAGUCAUGGUUAAGUGGGAAACGAUGUGGGAAGGCCCAGACAGCCAGGAUGUUGGCUUAGAAGCAGCCAUCAUUUAAAGAAAGCGUAAUAGCUCACUGGUCGAGUCGGCCUGCGCGGAAGAUGUAACGGGGCUAAACCAUGCACCGAAGCUGCGGCAGCGAACGUAUCACUUAAAGCGAUUCAGCGGGUUACGAUUGACGGAGCGAAGCGACGUCAAAGCGUAUACAAAGUCGAGUCGGUUUAAGGAUACGUUCGUUGGGUAGGGGAGCGUUCUGUAAGCCUGUGAAGGUGGCCUGUGAGGGUUGCUGGAGGUAUCAGAAGUGCGAAUGCUGACAUAAGUAACGAUAAAGCGGGUGAAAAGCCCGCUCGCCGGAAGACCAAGGGUUCCUGUCCAACGUUAAUCGGGGCAGGGUGAGUCGACCCCUAAGGCGAGGCCGAAAGGCGUAGUCGAUGGGAAACAGGUUAAUAUUCCUGUACUUGGUGUUACUGCGAAGGGGGGACGGAGAAGGCUAUGUUGGCCGGGCGACGGUUGUCCCGGUUUAAGCGUGUAGGUGUGUGUUCCAGGUAAAUCCGGUUCACUUUAACACUGAGGCGUGAUGACGAGGCACUACGGUGCUGAAGCAACAAAUGCCCUGCUUCCAGGAAAAGCCUCUAAGCAUCAGGUAACAUCAAAUCGUACCCCAAACCGACACAGGUGGUCAGGUAGAGAAUACCAAGGCGCUUGAGAGAACUCGGGUGAAGGAACUAGGCAAAAUGGUGCCGUAACUUCGGGAGAAGGCACGCUGACACGUAGGUGAAGUGAUUUACUCAUGGAGCUGAAGUCAGUCGAAGAUACCAGCUGGCUGCAACUGUUUAUUAAAAACACAGCACUGUGCAAACACGAAAGUGGACGUAUACGGUGUGACGCCUGCCCGGUGCCGGAAGGUUAAUUGAUGGGGUCAGCGCAAGCGAAGCUCCUGAUCGAAGCCCCGGUAAACGGCGGCCGUAACUAUAACGGUCCUAAGGUAGCGAAAUUCCUUGUCGGGUAAGUUCCGACCUGCACGAAUGGCGUAAUGAUGGCCAGGCUGUCUCCACCCGAGACUCAGUGAAAUUGAACUCGCUGUGAAGAUGCAGUGUACCCGCGGCAAGACGGAAAGACCCCGUGAACCUUUACUAUAGCUUGACACUGAACAUUGAGCCUUGAUGUGUAGGAUAGGUGGGAGGCUUUGAAGCGUGGACGCCAGUCUGCGUGGAGCCGACCUUGAAAUACCACCCUUUAAUGUUUGAUGUUCUAACGUGGACCCGUAAUCCGGGUUGCGGACAGUGUCUGGUGGGUAGUUUGACUGGGGCGGUCUCCUCCUAAAGAGUAACGGAGGAGCACGAAGGUUGGCUAAUCCUGGUCGGACAUCAGGAGGUUAGUGCAAUGGCAUAAGCCAGCUUGACUGCGAGCGUGACGGCGCGAGCAGGUGCGAAAGCAGGUCAUAGUGAUCCGGUGGUUCUGAAUGGAAGGGCCAUCGCUCAACGGAUAAAAGGUACUCCGGGGAUAACAGGCUGAUACCGCCCAAGAGUUCAUAUCGACGGCGGUGUUUGGCACCUCGAUGUCGGCUCAUCACAUCCUGGGGCUGAAGUAGGUCCCAAGGGUAUGGCUGUUCGCCAUUUAAAGUGGUACGCGAGCUGGGUUUAGAACGUCGUGAGACAGUUCGGUCCCUAUCUGCCGUGGGCGCUGGAGAACUGAGGGGGGCUGCUCCUAGUACGAGAGGACCGGAGUGGACGCAUCACUGGUGUUCGGGUUGUCAUGCCAAUGGCACUGCCCGGUAGCUAAAUGCGGAAGAGAUAAGUGCUGAAAGCAUCUAAGCACGAAACUUGCCCCGAGAUGAGUUCUCCCUGAGACUUAGAGUCUCCUGAAGGAACGUUGAAGACGACGACGUUGAUAGGCCGGGUGUGUAAGCGCAGCGAUGCGUUGAGCUAACCGGUACUAAUGAACCGUGAGGCUUAACCUUACAACGCCGAAG
rnacentral:rRNA from 1 species